CACGUAGGGGGCAAGCGUUGUCCAGAUUUAUUGGGCGUAAAGAGCGUGUAGGCGGCCAAACAGGUCAGCUGUGAAAACUCGAGGCUCAACCUCGAGACGCCGGUGGAAACCGUAAAGCUAGAGUCCGGAAGAGGAGAGUGGAAUUCCUGGUGUAGCGGUGAAAUGCGCAGAUAUCAGGAGGAACACCCGUGGCGAAAGCGGCUCUCUGGGACGGUACUGACGCUGAGACGCGAAAGCGUGGGGAGCAAACAGG
rnacentral:rRNA from 1 species